rnacentral:rRNA from 1 species
CAGCAGCCGCGGUAAUACGGAGGGUGCGAGCGUUAAUCGGAAUUACUGGGCGUAAAGCGUACGCAGGCGGUUUGUUAAGUCAGAUGUGAAAUCCCCGAGCUUAACUCGGGAACUGCAUUUGAAACUGGCAGGCUAGAGUCUCGUAGAGGGGGGUAGAAUUCCAGGUGUAGCGGUGAAAUGCGUAGAGAUCGGAAAGAACACCAACGGCGAAAGCACUCUGCUGGGCCGACACUGACACUGAGAGACGAAAGCUAGGGGAGCAAAUGGGAUUAGAUACCCCCGUAGUCCCUGUCUCUUAUAC